UCCCCAAUGGCUUAGAUGAUAAAGAAUCCACCUGCAAUGUGGGAGACCUGGGUUCGAUCCCUGGAUAGGGAA
rnacentral:tRNA from 1 species